rnacentral:misc_RNA from 1 species
GAUGAAGAACGUAGCGAAAUGCGAUACGUAAUGUGAAUUGCAGAAUUCAGUGAAUCAUCGAAUCUUUGAACGCAUAUUGCGCUCUCUGGUAUUCCGGAGAGCAUGCUUGUUUGAGUAUCAGUAAACACCUCAACUCCCUUUUCUUUUUUGAAAUUGGAGCUGGACUUGCGUGAUCCCAACGCUUUCUUCCAAGAAAGUGGCGGGUUGCUUGAAAUGCAGGUGCAGCUGAACUUUUCUCUGAGCUAUAAGCAUAUCUAUUUAGUCUGCCUAAAAAACAGAUUAUUACCUUUGCUGCAGCUAACAUAAAGGAGACUAGUUCUUGUGCUGACUGAUGCAGGAUUCACAGAGACAGCUUCGGCUGACUUUGUAAACUCGAUCUCAAAUCAAGUAAGACUACCCGCUGAACUUAAGCAUAUCAAUAAGCGGAGGA